rnacentral:rRNA from 1 species
GCUAAACGCGAAGAACCUUACCUAAGCUUGACAUCCCACUGACCUCUCCCUAAUCGGAGAUUUCCCUUCGGGGACAGUGGUGACAGGUGGUGCAUGGUUGUCGUCAGCUCGUGUCGUGAGAUGUUGGGUUAAGUCCCGCAACGAGCGCAACCCUUGCCUUUAGUUGCCAGCAUUAAGUUGGGCACUCUAGAGGGACUGCCGAGGAUAACUCGGAGGAAGGUGGGGAUGACGUCAAAUCAUCAUGCCCCUUAUGCUUAGGGCUACACACGUGCUACAAUGGGUGGUACAGAGGGUUGCCAAGCCGCGAGGUGGAGCUAAUCCCUUAAAGCCAUUCUCAGUUCGGAUUGUAGGCUGAAACUCGCCUACAUGAAGCUGGAGUUACUAGUAAUCGCAGAUCAGAAUGCUGCGGUGAAUGCGUUCCCGGGUCUUGUACACACCG